AUUGAACGCUGGCGGCAGGCCUAACACAUGCAAGUCGAGCGGAGCGGCGGACGGGUGAGUAAUGCCUAGGAAUCUGCCUGGUAGUGGGGGAUAACGUCCGGAAACGGGCGCUAAUACCGCAUACUAUCAGAUGAGCCUAGGUCGGAUUAGCUAGUUGGUGGGGUAAAGGCCUACCACGGCGACGAUCCGUAACUGGUCUGAGAGGAGGAUCAGUCACACUGGAACUGAGACACGGUCCAGACUCCUACGGGAGGCAGCAGUGGGGAAUAUUGGAACAGGAGCGAAAGACUGAUCAAGCGACGCCGCGUGUGUGAAGAAGGUCUUCGGAUGGUAAAGCACUUUUAGUCGGGAGGCGCGUUUUACAGAAUCAGCAACGGCUAACUUCGUGCCAGCAGCCGCGGUAAUAC
rnacentral:rRNA from 1 species